GACGAACGCUGGCGGCGUGCUUAACACAUGCAAGUCGAACGGUGAAGCAGGAGCUUGCUCCUGUGGAUCAGUGGCGAACGGGUGAGUAACACGUGAGCAAUCUGCCCUGGACUCUGGGAUAAGCGUUGGAAACGACGUCUAAUACCGGAUACGAGGCGUGGGGGCAUCCCCAACGCCUGGAAAGAACUUCGGUCCAGGAUGAGCUCGCGGCCUAUCAGGUAGUUGGUGAGGUAACGGCUCACCAAGCCUACGACGGGUAGCCGGCCUGAGAGGGUGACCGGCCACACUGGGACUGAGACACGGCCCAGACUCCUACGGGAGGCAGCAGUGGGGAAUAUUGCACAACGGGCGCAAGCCUGAUGCAGCAACGCCGCGUGAGGGACGACGGCCUUCGGGUUGUAAACCUCUUUUAGCAGGGAAGAAGCGAAAGUGACGGUACCUGCAGAAAAAGCACCGGCUAACUACGUGCCAGCAGCCGCCGUAA
rnacentral:rRNA from 1 species